rnacentral:rRNA from 1 species
GACGAACGCUGGCGGCGUGCCUAAUACAUGCAAGUAGAACGCUGAAGAGAGGAGCUUGCUCUUCUUGGAUGAGUCGCGAACGGGUGAGUAACGCGUAGGUAACCUGCCUUGUAGCGGGGGAUAACUAUUGGAAACGAUAGCUAAUACCGCAUAACAAUGGAUGACACAUGUCAUUUAUUUGAAAGGGGCAAUUGCUCCACUACAAGAUGGACCUGCGUUGUAUUAGCUAGUAGGUGAGGUAAUGGCUCACCUAGGCGACGAUACAUAGCCGACCUGAGAGGGUGAUCGGCCACACUGGGACUGAGACACGGCCCAGACUCCUACGGGAGGCAGCAGUAGGGAAUCUUCGGCAAUGGGGGCAACCCUGACCGAGCAACGCCGCGUGAGUGAAGAAGGUUUUCGGAUCGUAAAGCUCUGUUGUAAGUCAAGAACGAGUGUGAGAGUGGAAAGUUCACACUGUGACGGUAGCUUACCAGAAAGGGACGGCUAACUACGUG